rnacentral:rRNA from 1 species
CGAAAGCCUGACGGAGCAAUACCGCGUGCGGGAGGACGCUUUUUGGAGUGUAAACCGCUUUUCUCAAGGAAGAUGAUGACGGUACUUGAGGAAUCAGCAUCGGCUAACUUCGUGCCAGCAGCCGCGGUAAUACGGAGGAUGCGAGCGUUAUCCGGAAUCAUUGGGCGUAAAGAGUCUGUAGGUGGCACUUCAAGUCUGCUGUCAAAGACCGAAGCUUAACUUCGGGCAGGCGGUGGAAACUGAAGAGCUAGAGUAAAGCAGGGGUAGAGGGAAUUCCCAGUGUAGCGGUGAAAUGCGUAGAGAUUGGGAAGAACACCAGUGGCGAAGGCGCUCUACUGGGCUAAAACUGACACUGAGAGACGAAAGCUAGGGUAGCG